rnacentral:rRNA from 1 species
GACGUAGGGGGCAAGCGUUGUCCGGAAUCAUUGGGCGUAAAGAGCGUGUAGGCGGCCAGAUAAGUCCGCUGUGAAAACUCGAGGCUCAACUUCGAGCUGUCGGCGGAAACUAUCUGGCUAGAGUCCGGAAGAGGAGAGUGGAAUUCCUGGUGUAGCGGUGAAAUGCGCAGAUAUCAGGAAGAACACCUAUGGCGAAGGCAGCUCUCUGGGACGGUACUGACGCUGAGACGCGAAAGCGUGGGGAGCGAACAGG